AGCAGCCGCGGUAAUUCCAGCUCCAAUAGCGUAUAUUAAAGUUGUUGCAGUUAAAAAAGCUCGUAGUUGAAUUUCGGAAUCGACGGAUUGGUCGCGCCUUUGGUGUGUACUGGUCUUGCCGGUUUCUCCCUUCUGACGAACCACGAUGUCAUUAAUUUGGUGUCGUGGGGAAUCAGGACUGUUACUUUGAAAAAAUUAGAGUGUUUAAAGCAGGCAUUAGCUUGAAUACAUUAGCAUGGAAUAAUGAAAUAGGACGUUUGAUCUUAUUUUGUUGGUUUCUAGGAUCGACGUAAUGAUUAAUAGGGAUAGUUGGGGGCACUAGUAUUCAAUUGUCAGAGGUGAAAUUCUUGGAUUUAUUGAAGACUAACUACUGCGAAAGCAUUUGCCAAGGAUGUUUUCAUUAAUCAAGAACGAAAGUUAGGGGAUCGAAGACGAUCAGAUACCGUCGUAGUCUUAACCAUAAACUAUGCCGACUAGGGAUCGGAUGAUGUUAAUUUUUAAUGACUCAUUCGGCGCCUUA
rnacentral:rRNA from 1 species